rnacentral:rRNA from 1 species
GGUUGAUCCUGCCAGUAGUCAUAUGCUUGUCUCAAAGAUUAAGCCAUGCAUGUCUAAGUAUAAGCAAUUAUACAGUGAAACUGCGAAUGGCUCAUUAAAUCAGUUAUCGUUUAUUUGAUAGUACCUUUACUACUUGGAUAACCGUGGUAAUUCUAGAGCUAAUACAUGCUAAAAAUCCCGACUGUUUGGAAGGGAUGUAUUUAUUAGAUAAAAAACCAAUGCACUUCGGUGCUCUUUGGUGAUUCAUAAUAACUUCUCGAAUCGCAAGGCUUCAUGCUGGCGAUGGUUCAUU